GCUGUAACAUUAAUUUGUUUUGCUUUUCAUGUCUCCUGCAGCACGGGCAGUCUGAGCAUCUGAGUCUGGUUCCCAUUUGUUUUGCUUGGAAUGUGUUGGGCUGGCUUGAAUAUCUUCCAUUGUCGUAUGGACGCUUGUCACUCCGUGCAGUAGAGGUUCUGUCAUGUGAUAUUACUCCACACAGAGGGAAGCCGGAGCAGCCCUGCACGCUGCUUUACACCACUGGAAAAUGCUGA
rnacentral:lncRNA from 1 species